rnacentral:rRNA from 1 species
GUGUCAGCAGCCGCGGUAAAACGUAGGAGACAAGCGUUAUCCGGAAUUACUGGGCGUAAAGCGCGUGUAGGCGGGUUGGUAAGUGGGUCGUGAAAGCCCCUGGCUAAACUGGGGGAGGUCGAUUCAGACUGCCAGUCUCGAGUUUCCCAGAGGCAGAUGGAAUUCCGGGUGUAGUGGUGAAAUGCGUAGAGAUCCGGAGGAACACCAGUGGCGAAGGCGGUCUGCUGGGGGAAAACUGACGCUGAGACGCGACAGCAUGGGGAGCGAACGGGAUUAGAAACCCUCGUAGUCC